rnacentral:rRNA from 1 species
UACGUAGGGUGCAAGCGUUAAGCGGAAUUACUGGGCGUAAAGCGUGCGCAGGCGGUGAUGUAAGACAGGUGUGAAAUCCCCGGGCUUAACCUGGGAACUGCAUUUGUGACUGCAUCGCUGGAGUGCGGCAGAGGGGGAUGGAAUUCCGCGUGUAGCAGUGAAAUGCGUAGAUAUGCGGAGGAACACCGAUGGCGAAGGCAAUCCCCUGGGCCUGCACUGACGCUCAUGCACGAAAGCGUGGGGAGCAAACAGG